rnacentral:rRNA from 1 species
GAUGAACGCUGGCGGCGUGCCUAAUACAUGCAAGUCGAGCGAACAGACGAGGAGCUUGCUCCUCUGACGUUAGCGGCGGACGGGUGAGUAACACGUGAUAACCUACCUAUAAGACUGGGAUAACUUCGGGAAACCGGAGCUAACACCGGAUAAUAUAUUGAACCGCAUGGUUCAAUAGUGAAAGACGGUUUUGCUGUCACUUAUAGAUGGAUCCGCGGCGCAUUAGCUAGUUGGUAAGGUGACGGCUUACCAAGGCAACGAUGCGUAGCCGACCUGAGAGGGUGAUCGGCCACACUGGAACUGAGACACGGUCCAGACUCCUACGGAAGGCAGCAGUAGGGAAUCUUCCGCAAUGGGCGAAAGCCUGACGGAGCAACGCCGCGUGAGUGAUGAAGGUCUUCGGAUCGUAAAACUCUGUUAUUAGGGAAGAACAAAUGUGUAAGUAACUAUGCACGUCUUGACGGUACCUAAUCAGAAAGCCACGGCUAACUACGUGCCAGCCGCCGCAGUAA